GACGAACGCUGGCGGCGUGCUUAACACAUGCAAGUCGAACGGAAAGGCCCUGCUUUUGUGGGGUCCUCGAGUGGAGAACGGGUGAGUAACACGUGAGUAACCUGCCCUUCACUUUGGGAUAACUUCAGGAAACUGGGGCUAAUACCGGCUAGGAGCUCCUGCUGCAUGGUGGGGGCUGGAAAGUUUCGGCGGUUGGGGAUGGACUCGCGGCUUAUCAGCUUGUUGGUGGGGUAGUGGCUUACCAAGGCUUUGACGGGUUGCAGGCCUGCGAGGGGAACCUGCCCCGUUGGGCCUGGACUGCGGCCCGGCCUCCUCCCGUAGGCAAGAGUGCAGAAGAGUGCACUGUGGGCGGAAGCCUAAUGCAGCAACGCCGCGUGGGGUAUGAGGGCCAGCGGGUUGUGUUCCGCAUUCCCCUUUGCCGAAGCGUUAAUGACGGUAAUGGGUAAAUAAGCACCGGCUAACUACGUG
rnacentral:rRNA from 1 species